GUAGGAGCCAAGCGUUAUCCGAAUUCACUGGGCGUAAAGCGCGUGCAGGCGGCUGCGCAAGUUGGGUGUGAAAUCUCCCGGCUCAACUGGGAGAGGCCGCUCAAGACUGCGUGGCUCGAGGCUGGUAGAGGGAGGUGGAAUUCCCGGUGUAGUGGUGAAAUGCGUAGAUAUCGGGAGGAACACCAGUGGCGAAAGCGGCCUCCUGGACCAGACCUGACGCUAAGAUGCGAAAGCUAGGGGAGCGAACGGGAUUAGAAACCCCGGUAGUCCUAGCCGUAAACGAUGUAGACUAGGCGUGGGUGGGGUAAAAGCCAUCCGUGCCGCAGCUAACGCGGUAAGUCUACCGCCUGGGGACUACGGCCGCAAGGUUAAA
rnacentral:rRNA from 1 species